ensembl:lncRNA
UGCUGUGGAGGGCUCUGUCCUAACUUAUUUUCUUGAUUCUCUCCUUGGUCUUUUCUUUCAAUUUUAUUUUCUGUGGUGGAGGGUUAAUGCACUGUUUUGUUUUAGCGGUACCCACUGUUUUUUCAAAGGGUGGAAGAGGACAGAGUUUUAGUUUCCUGGGGUUUGGAAGGUGUGGUGUGCGUGAUGACUUCUCAGCCUCGCGCGGAGGAGACUGUCGACACGGCAUGGAUUCAGGUGUGUUCCUGAGAAUGGAGUUAAGGUGGAGGAGGUUCUGCUCGCUGUCGGUGAACAGCUGUCCUUCCUCUCUCUCCUUGGCUGCUAAGUGUGUGACUAUGAGUGAAUUGGCUCGGCCCUCCCUCACGCAUCUUUGGUUCAUUGGUUGACACUGCGUGUCUGAUUGACAGAAACAACAGAUUUGUCUCUUCUGAUAUGCGAGUUGGCUCCCAACGUUCACCUACAAGAGCCGGCUCUUCGCAAACGACCCAUCACUACAAGACUUCUAUUCUACUGAAUGGAAACUACAAGUGUUAUUGCUGUGCUCAAUGUCAU